rnacentral:rRNA from 1 species
AAAAGCUCGUAGUUGGAUUUUUGAUCGGAGGGGUCGGUCCGCUCUGCAAAGAGUGUGUACUAGCGCCUUCUCCGGUUUUUCUUAUGGAGAGGCAUUCUGGCAUUAGGUUGUUGGGGUGUGGAUCCAUAUCGUUUACUGUGAAAAAAUUAGAGUGUUUAAAGCAGGCUUAGGCCGUUGAAUACAUUAGCAUGGAAUAAUAAGAUAGGACUUUGGCUCUAUUUUGUUGGUUUGCGUGCCAAGGUAAUGAUUAAUAGGGAUAGUUGGGGGUAUUCAUAUUUAAUUGUCAGAGGUGAAAUUCUUGGAUUUAUGAAAGAUGAACUUCUGCGAAAGCAUUUACCAAGGAUGUUUUCAUUAAUCAAGAACGAAAGUUAGGGGAUCGAAGAUGAUUAGAUACCAUCGUAGUCUUAACCAUAAACUAUGCCGACUAGGGAUUGGCGGUCGUUCUCAAUGACUCCGUCAGCACCUUAUGAGAAAUCAAAGUCUUUGGGUUCCGGGGGGAGUAUGGUCGCAAGGCUGAAAACUUAAAGGAAUUGACGGAAAGGCACCACCAGGGAGUGGGAGCCUGCGGCUUAAUUUGACUUCAACACGGGGAAACUUACCAGGUCAGACAUAGUAGGAAUUGACAGAUGGAGAGCUNCUUUCUUGANUUCUAUGGGGUGGUUGGUUGCAUGGCCGUUUCUUAGUUGGGUUGGAAUGGAAUUUGG